GGGGAAUAUUGGACAAUGGGCGCAAGCCUGAUCCAGCAAUACCGCGUGGGUGAAGAAGACCUUCGGGUUGUAAAGCCCUUUUGUUGGGAAAGAAAAGCAUUCGGUUAAUACCCGAUUGUUCUGACGGUACCCAAAGAAUAAGCACCGGCUAACUUCGUUCCAGCAGCCGCGGUAAUACGAAGGGUGCAAGCGUUACUCGGAAUUACUGGGCGUAAAGCGUGCGUAGGUGGUUGUUUAAGUCUGUCGUGAAAGCCCUGGGCUCAACCUGGGAAUUGCGAUGGAAUCUGGGCGACUAGAGUGUGGCAGAGGGUAGUGGAAUUCCUGGUGUAGCAGUGAAAUGCGUAGAGAUCUGGAGGAAUACCGGUGGCGAAGGCGGCCCCCUGGACAAAGACUGACGCUCAGGUGCGAAAGCGUGGGGAGCAAACA
rnacentral:rRNA from 1 species